rnacentral:misc_RNA from 1 species
GGAAACAGUAGUGCAAUGCAUGAGUUGAUAUAAACCCAAAUCAGAACUACAAUGAAUAAAUAAUAGCUCAUCCUGUAAAACACAUAGGCACAACCAUUGGUAGAAGGUUUUAGCAAUGAAGCAUGUCAAGAUUCCACAAGAAAUUAUUUAAGAAAAAAUGGAGGAGAAAAAAAAGAAUGAAGAAAGAAAACAGUCAAAUAUUUCUUGAAACUGUAUCUCCAUGUUUAUGUACUCUGAAUGGAGAAGCAAGAUAUCUCAUGAAUUAAAAAUCAUACCUCAC